rnacentral:rRNA from 1 species
GAGUUUGAUCCUGGCUCAGGAUGAACGCUGGCGGCGUGCCUAACACAUGCAAGUCGAGCGAACCCUUCGGGGUGAGCGGCGGACGGGUGAGUAACGCGUGGGUAACCUGCCCUGUACACACGGAUAACAUACCGAAAGGUAUGCUAAUACGGGAUAAUAUAUGAGAGUCGCAUGGCUUUUAUAUCAAAGCUCCGGCGGUACAGGAUGGACCCGCGUCUGAUUAGCUAGUUGGUAAGGUAACGGCUUACCAAGGCAACGAUCAGUAGCCGACCUGAGAGGGUGAUCGGCCACAUUGGAACUGAGACACGGUCCAAACUCCUACGGGAGGCAGCAGUGGGGAAUAUUGCACAAUGGGCGAAAGCCUGAUGCAGCAACGCCGCGUGAGCGAUGAAGGCCUUCGGGUCGUAAAGCUCUGUCCUCAAGGAAGAUAAUGACGGUACUUGAGGAGGAAGCCCCGGCUAACUACGUGCCAGCAGCCGCGGUAAUACGUAGGGGGCUAGCGUUAUCCGGAAUUACUGGGCGUAAAGGGUGCGUAGGCGGUCUUUCAAGCCAGAAGUGAAAGGCUACGGCUCAACCGUAGUAAGCUUUUGGAACUGUAGGACUUGAGUGCAGGAGAGGAGAGUGGAAUUCCUAGUGUAGCGGUGAAAUGCGUAGAUAUUAGGAGGAACACCAGUAGCGAAGGCGGCUCUCUGGACUGUAACUGACGCUGAGGCACGAAAGCGUGGGGAGCAAACAGGAUUAGAUACCCUGGUAGUCCACGCCGUAAACGAUGAGUACUAGGUGUCGGGGGUUACCCCCCUCGGUGCCGCAGCUAACGCAUUAAGUACUCCGCCUGGGAAGUACGCUCGCAAGAGUGAAACUCAAAGGAAUUGACGGGGACCCGCACAAGUAGCGGAGCAUGUGGUUUAAUUCGAAGCAACGCGAAGAACCUUGCCUAAGCUUGACAUCCCAUUGACCUCUCCCUAAUCGGAGAUUUCCCUUCGGGGACAGUGGUGACAGGUGGUGCAUGGUUGUCGUCAGCUCGCGUCGUGAGAUGUUGGGUUAAGUCCCGCAACGAGCGCAACCCUUGCCUUUAGUUGCCAGCAUUAAGUUGGGCACUCUAGAGGGACUGCCGAGGAUAACUCGGAGGAAGGUGGGGAUGACGUCAAAUCAUCAUGCCCCUUAUGCUUAGGGCUACACACGUGCUACAAUGGGUGGUACAGAGGGUUGCCAAGCCGUGAGGUGGAGCUAAUCCCUUAAAGCCAUUCUCAGUUCGGAUUGUAGGCUGAAACUCGCCUACAUGAAGCUGGAGUUACUAGUAAUCGCAGAUCAGAAUGCUGCGGUGAAUGCGUUCCCGGGUCUUGUACACACCGCCCGUCACACCAUGGGAGUUGGGGGCGCCCGAAGCCGGUUAGCUAACCUUUUAGGAAGCGGCCGUCGAAGGUGAAACCAAUGACUGGGGUGAAGUCGUAACAAGGUAGCCGUAG